rnacentral:miRNA from 1 species
AGCACUCCACCACUGUGUCUGAUACCUUGGGUGAGGGCACCAUGUUGAAAGUGUUCAUGAUCCUCUUUGGGUACUUCUCCCAGAUUUUGCUGAU